UUUAUCAAAAACAUGUCUUCCUGAGAAACCUUUAUAGGAAGUCGGACCUGCCCGGUGAAUUUUUUUAACGGCCGCGGUACCCUAACCGUGCGAAGGUAGCGUAAUCAUUUGCCCUAUAAUUGAGGGCUCGUAUGAACGGUUUGACAAGAGCAAAACUGUCUCUGUUUAGUUUAAUAGAAUUUUAUUUUUAGGCGAAAAAGCCUAAGUAGAAUUAAAAGACAAGAAGACCCUAUCGAGCUUUAAACAAAUUAAUUAAAUAAUUGCUAUUAAUAAACUAAAAACAAUAUAUAAUUAAACAUUUUAGUUGGGACGACUCGGGAACAAAAAAAGCUUCUUUCAACCACUAAAAAUUAAUUCGUCUUGAUCCAUAAUUAGUGAUACAAGGAAUUAGUUCCGUAGGGAUAACAGCAUAAUUCCUUUAGAGAGCCCAUAUCGAAAAAGGAGUUUGUGACCUCGAUGUUGGAUCAAAAUACCCCAAAAAUGCAGCAGUUUUUAAAGGUUGGUCUGUUCGACCAUUAAAAUUUUACGUGAUCUGAGUUCAGACCGGCGUGAGCCAGGUCAGGUUCUAUCUUUAAUUUUUAAUUUUAAGCUUAGUACGAAAGGAUUAGCUUAAAGUGUUACAUCUCCUACACACCUAUAGAAAUAAUAUAAUAACCACAAUUAAAUUAAAAAAUUACACAUAAAGGCGGCAGAACGAGUGCAUUAGGUUU
rnacentral:rRNA from 1 species